UACGUAGGCAGCAAGCGUUGUUCGGAGUUACUGGGCGUAAAGGGUGCGUAGGCGGUUUCUUAAGUUUGGUGUGAAAUCUCCCGGCUCAACCGGGAGGGUGCGCCGGAUACUGAGAGACUUCGAGUGCGGGAGGGGAGAGUGGAAUUCCUGGUGUAGCGGUGAAAUGCGUAGAUAUCAGGAGGAACACCGGUGGUGUAAACGGCUCUCUGGACCGUAACUGACGCUGAGGCACGAAAGCGUGGGGAGCAAA
rnacentral:rRNA from 1 species